rnacentral:lncRNA from 1 species
UAUAAAAAUUGAAUUAUACGUAUUUGAAUAUUGAGUGGGACCCAAAUUGGACCUUGGUUGAGUUAAAAGGGAGGAAAAACAAAAAGAAAAUGAAAAUGGAUGAAUCGCCACGUGUCGCGCAUCGGGCACCUAGGUACAUUGCACCUAGGUGCAAGAUGGAAAAAACCCCUCCCCUACCUGCCUGCAACAGGGUCUCACCACCCUCUCACUUCCCCAUCAGUUCAGCCAUACCCAAGUACAUCUAACAACUCAAUCAGCCAUUCUAGCCAUCCCCUACACCCUUUAACGUCUCUGCCAGCAACCCCUCCUUUGUAAAUCAAACUAGCCAGAAAUUGUUGCAUCCUCUUCAUUCUUCACUUAAGGACUUCAAGAAUAGCAGGGGGCCUCUAAUCCAUUUCUGCCAAAUUCUCAAGGUAAGCUUGGCUUUAAUGCUUCCACCUUCUUCCAUGAUUUUACCUGCAUCUAUUGGAGAAACAACAACCAUUAAUUUGUCUAAGCUAUUCCAUUCCAGUUAACACCUCAACAGUUGAAGAAGAGAGAGAGAGAGAGAUCAUUUAUUCAAUACUCUGCCAAACUAAAAGGUAAACCUUGCCUUUAAUUCUUCCAUCUGUCCAUGAUUUCUCCCGCAUUCAUUGAGAGGAACCAAUAAUUGGGAUUAUUUCAGAUUAUCUCAGUUUACUCAAUACCACAGCAACAGCCAACCAACACAUUCUCAAGGUAUUUAUACUACCUCAGUUAUCCAAUCCAGUUCGCAUUCAUACCAACGAGCAUAAUCAUGUUUUACCACUACAUCAAACAGUCCAUGUUAUGUACAGCAAUAGAAAGGCUUAUGUGUAUAUUGCCACUGCACUCUAGAACACAAACCAUGAGGACCUCACACAUAGCACAUGAAUGGACGAACAAGGAUAGCGAUAGCAUGCUCACUGACAGAGUGUUAAACCCUGUUUCUUUCUUGCUCAUAGAAGCUUAAGCUUAUCGAUACUCAGACAUGGUGGGAAGGAGACGAGUCAAGGAUAUAACUUAGCUUGAUUGAGAGGGAGCGGGGCUACUGCCCUGCUCAGGAGUCAGGACAUAACUUCAGUCGAGCCGAGACGACGACGUUCGAAUGCUGCCUCGCCGGACUCCAGACUGAGCAACGGCGACGUACCCUCCUCCGACCGAACCCAACAACGACGUGGUCGACUCCGAAGAGGACAACAGCGACGAUUCGUGAAAGGGAAGGACUCCGGCUCGGAGGAGAGAACGAGGCGACGCCGGCCUCACCGAUUCGCAGAAGACGCUGACUCGUCGGCCUCCACCAGCGGCGACGGCAAUUCAGGCAGGGAAGAGCUAGGGCACGUUUCAAAGAAGGGAGAAAUUUGGGGCUUUUUCCCUCCGUCUUCUUCAGAUAUCGAUUGAAGGAGUGUGACACCGUGAUUGAAAGGAGGAGGUGCCGCUCGCCGGAAUUACAGAGACGACGACGGCGGAUUCAGGCGAAGAAGCUCGCCUUCAUGUUCCGCGAUUCCAGAAAUCGAGAGAGUGAGAGAGGUCUGUUUGAGGGUUGUGCUCGGUGACCAAGGGAUGGGAGGCACCGGACUUAGGCGCCACUACAGCCGACGCCGGCCGGAGCAGGGACGGCGAAAUUUCGAGAGGAAUUUGAGGGAGAGAACAGCGUGUUUGAACUAGAGGGAGAGAGAAACCGAGUUUGUUGAGGGAGGAAUUGGGCCUCAUUUUUUAUUUCCUU